rnacentral:lncRNA from 1 species
UGCCAAAUCAUUAUGAAAAGUUACAAUGUUUCCUCCAAAAAAUUGCCAGAAUUCAUAUAAAAUUGACCUCCAACGGUCACUAAAUUACAACCAUGCGACCGCAUGGUGUGAUGCCAUGUGGUCGCAUGGUUUAUGCUAACGCCAGCCUCCAAGUUUCUGGCCAUGGCCAUGCACUAUUAGCCUAUGCAGUCGCAUGGGCCAAAGUAUUGGCUCCCAUCUCCUCUUUCGUUCCACACUUGUGUUUAUUGAUUUAUUGAACAACAUUUUCCAUCAUUAUAUGGGGGGAUCAAAGAAGAAAUAUAGGAUUAUGGUUGAAACCUAUUAGUUCUUGAGUAUGCUCUGGUGCAAUUGUUUUCCUCUCUUCCCUGUUGUAAACUUCAUUUGAUUUUGAUGAAACAAGAUUAAUAAACUUCGCAAUAGGAAAAAAACACAUGAAAAUCUCAUAGCCUAUAGAAGUUAACGUGGAACAUUAUGGAAUGAACUUGACGAGGCAGGUUUUAGAUUUAAAAAUGACAUGUCAGUCAUCUAUUAUUUACUUACUUUAUCCCCCUUUUUAACCUCGCCGUGGCAUCGUUUUGAUCAUUUAUCAUACACCUUCCCUGCACAUUAUUCUCCAAUGAGCCAUGGGUGUGGAGCUCGUAAUGAAUCAGACAAACUUUGUUUCACAAUCAGAAAAAACACUAUGCUAGAAGUUGCUUCUGGC